rnacentral:rRNA from 1 species
UACGGGGGGAGCAAGCGUUGUUCGGAUUUACUGGGCGUAAAGGGCGCGUAGGCGGCCACCGCAAGUCGGCUGUGAAAUCUCUGGGCUUAACCCAGAAAGGUCAACCGAUACUGCGGGGCUAGAGUGCAGAAGGGGCAACUGGAAUUCUCGGUGUAGCGGUGAAAUGCGUAGAUAUCGAGAGGAACACCUGCGGCGAAGGCGGGUUGCUGGGCUGACACUGACGCUGAAGCGCGAAAGCUAGGGGAGCGAACGGG